ACUGUCUGCGGGUCCUACAUGAAACAAGGCUAUCCACUGCCUGAGUCUGAUUUUGCUAGAGAAGCUAUGAGCAAGAUGGAGUCAUGUGGUUGUGUAUCAGUGAUGUUUUGCCAGCCCCACCCAUUGGCAUCACUGCCUGGAAGGAAUCUUCGAACAGACUGUCAGGAGCUCAUUAACCUAUUGAGCUGGGACCACAAUUGUAGCUGUCUGAUGGUUAGAUGCUGUGUACCCCAGGAAGCCUGAGCAUACCUGAAUACAAUCAUGGGAGA
rnacentral:lncRNA from 1 species